rnacentral:rRNA from 1 species
GACGAACGCUGGCGGCGUGCUUAACACAUGCAAGUCGAACGGUGAAGCGCCUUCCUUUUUGGUGGGUGUGGAUGAGUGGCGAACGGGUGAGUAACACGUGAGUAACCUGCCCCCUUCUUCUGGAUAACCGCAUGAAAGUGUGGCUAAUACGGGAUAUUCUGGGUCUGUCGCAUGAUGGGUCUGGGAAAGAUAUUGUUUCGGUGGGGGAUGGGCUCGCGGCCUAUCAGCUUGUUGGUGGGGUGAUGGCCUACCAAGGCGGUGACGGGUAGCCGGCCUGAGAGGGUGGACGGUAGCACUGGGACUGAGACACGGCCCAGACUCCUACGGGAGGCAGCAGUGGGGAAUAUUGCACAAUGGGCGCAAGCCUGAUGCAGCGACGCCGCGUGAGGGAGGGAGGCCUUCGGGUUGUGAACCUCUUUCGCCAGUGAAGCAGGCCUGCCUCGUUUGUGGGUGGGUUGACGGUAGCUGGAUAAGAAGCGCCGGCUAACUACGUG